UGGGGAAUCUUGCGCAAUGGGCGGAAGCCUGACGCAGCGACGCCGCGUGCGGGAAGAAGGCCUUCGGGUUGUAAACCGCUUUCAGGAGGGACGAAGCCACUCGGGUGAAUAGCCCAGAGGGUGACGGUACCUCCAGAAGAAGCCCCGGCUAACUACGUGCCAGCAGCCGCGGUAAUACGUAGGGGGCUAGCGUUGUCCGGAUUCAUUGGGCGUAAAGCGCGUGUAGGCGGCCAGGUAGGUCCGAUGUGAAAACUGGAGGCCCAACCUCCAGCUGUCAUUGGAAACCAUCUGGCUAGAGUCCGGAAGAGGAGAGUGGAAUUCCUGGUGUAGCGGUGAAAUGCGCAGAUAUCAGGGAAGAACACCGAUGGCGAAGGGCAGCUCUCUGGGACGGUACUGACGCUGAGACGCGAAAGCGUGGGGAGCGAACAGGAUUAGGAUACCCUGGUAGUCCACGCCGUAAACGAUGGGCG
rnacentral:rRNA from 1 species